CAACAAAUAUUUUAUUAAAAAAAUAUUAGUUUUGGGUAUUAAAGAUGUGGAAUUUCUACUUUGUUGA
rnacentral:tRNA from 1 species